rnacentral:rRNA from 1 species
CUCCUACGGGGGCAGCAGUGGGGAAUAUUGGACAAUGGGCGAAAGCCUGAUCCAGCCAUGCCGCGUGUGUGAAGAAGGUCUUCGGAUUGUAAAGCACUUUAAGUUGGGAGGAAGGGCAUUAACCUAAUACGUUGGUGUCUUGACGUUACCGACAGAAUAAGCACCGGCUAACUCUGUGCCAGCAGCAGCCGCGGUAAUAC